UCAAUUUGCAAGGAGCAGCUUUCUCGGUUUUGGCGCCCUGGCAGUUCGUUGAAACUACAGCUCUAGGGAUUUACCUUAGUUGAAGGCAUCUUAAGAGUCACUUAUUACUGAGCCGGAUUGUGAAAUGUCGGUUGUGAACGCUUGGACUGGACCCUGAUGACCUUUCCUUCAACAAUUUGGCAUCCCAGAUGGAGCUCCAAGCUAACCUCUCCAAUGGACUGAGAAUGCUUUUUAUUAAUCUUUGCCGAACCUUGUGUCUUAAGAAGUAUUGGUGAUUUCUGUUUUGCCCUAUCCACAUGUGAGCAUGCCAUCCCUGCUGAAGAUCAUAACCCUCUAACUG